rnacentral:ncRNA from 1 species
AAAUAGGUUUUUUUAAAACCACAUACUUUCGAAAACUGAUAAUAU